CUAUAAGUCAGCAAGAGCAAGCCCUGCUGCUUCUUUCGGCGGGAUUUGCGGGCACUAAAAUAUAGGCCGCGGAAGAGCCUCAGAGCCGGGUUCCAGAACGUCUCCUCUUUGGGAGUGGAGUGGAAACGCUGAAGAUGCAGCCAGCUCAGUGUCCAGUUUCCUUCGAGGAGGUGGCCGUGCGUUUCUCAAAGGCCGAGUGGGCGCUGCUGAACC